GACGAACGCUGGCGGCGUGCCUAAUACAUGCAAGUUGAGCGCUGAAGGUUGGUACUUGUACCAACUGGAUGAGCAGCGAACGGGUGAGUAACGCGUGGGGAAUCUGCCUUUGAGCGGGGGACAACAUUUGGAAACGAAUGCUAAUACCGCAUAAAAACUUUAAACACAAGUUUUAAGUUUGAAAGAUGCAAUUGCAUCACUCAAAGAUGAUCCCGCGUUGUAUUAGCUAGUUGGUGAGGUAAAGGCUCACCAAGGCGAUGAUACAUAGCCGACCUGAGAGGGUGAUCGGCCCCAUUGGGACUGAGACACGGCCCAAACUCCUACGGGAGGCAGCAGUAGGGAAUCUUCGGCAAUGGACGAAAGUCUGACCGAGCAACGCCGCGUGAGUGAAGAAGGUUUUCGGAUCGUAAAACUCUGUUGGUAGAGAAGAACGUUGGUGAGAGUGGAAAGCUCAUCAAGUGACGGUAACUACCCAGAAAGGGACGGCUAACUACGUG
rnacentral:rRNA from 1 species